rnacentral:rRNA from 1 species
CGUACCUUUUGUAUAAUGGGUCAGCGACUUAUAUUCUGUAGCAAGGUUAACCGAAUAGGGGAGCCGGAGGGAAACCGAGUCUUAAUUGGGCGUUAAGUUGCAGGGUAUAGACCCGAAACCCGGUGAUCUAGCCAUGGGCAGGUUGAAGGUUGGGUAACACUAACUGGAGGACCGAACCGACUAAUGUUGAAAAAUUAGCGGAUGACCUGUGGCUGGGGGUGAAAGGCCAAUCAAACCGGGAGAUAGCUGGUUCUCCCCGAAAGCUAUUUAGGUAGCGCCUCGUGAAUUCAUCUCCGGGGGUAGAGCACUGUUUCGGCUAGGGGGCCAUCCCGGCUUACCAACCCGAUGCAAACUGCGAAUACCGGAGAAUGUUAUCACGGGAGACACACGGCGGGUGCUAACGUCCGUCGUGAAGAGGGAAACAACCCAGACCGCCAGCUAAGGUCCCAAAGUCAUGGUUAAGUGGGAAACGAUGUGGGAAGGCCCAGACAGCCAGGAUGUUGGCUUAGAAGCAGCCAUCAUUUAAAGAAAGCGUAAUAGCUCACUGGUCGAGUCGGCCUGCGCGGAAGAUGUAACGGGGCUAAACCAUGCACCGAAGCUGCGGCAGCGACACUGUGUGUUGUUGGGUAGGGGAGCGUUCUGUAAGCCUGUGAAGGUGUGUCGUGAGGCAUGCUGGAGGUAUCAGAAGUGCGAAUGCUGACAUAAGUAACGAUAAAGCGGGUGAAAAGCCCGCUCGCCGGAAGACCAAGGGUUCCUGUCCAACGUUAAUCGGGGCAGGGUGAGUCGACCCCUAAGGCGAGGCCGAAAGGCGUAGUCGAUGGGAAACGGGUUAAUAUUCCCGUACUUGGUGUUACUGCGAAGGGGGGACGGAGAAGGCUAUGUUGGCCGGGCGACGGUUGUCCCGGUUUAAGCGUGUAGGUGUGUGUUCCAGGUAAAUCCGGUUCACUUUAACACUGAGGCGUGACGACGAGGCACUACGGUGCUGAAGCAACAAAUGCCCUGCUUCCAGGAAAAGCCUCUAAGCAUCAGGUAACAUCAAAUCGUACCCCAAACCGACACAGGUGGUCAGGUAGAGAAUACCAAGGCGCUUGAGAGAACUCGGGUGAAGGAACUAGGCAAAAUGGUGCCGUAACUUCGGGAGAAGGCACGCUGACACGUAGGUGAAGUGAUUUACUCAUGGAGCUGAAGUCAGUCGAAGAUACCAGCUGGCUGCAACUGUUUAUUAAAAACACAGCACUGUGCAAACACGAAAGUGGACGUAUACGGUGUGACGCCUGCCCGGUGCCGGAAGGUUAAUUGAUGGGGUCAGCGCAAGCGAAGCUCCUGAUCGAAGCCCCGGUAAACGGCGGCCGUAACUAUAACGGUCCUAAGGUAGCGAAAUUCCUUGUCGGGUAAGUUCCGACCUGCACGAAUGGCGUAAUGAUGGCCAGGCUGUCUCCACCCGAGACUCAGUGAAAUUGAACUCGCUGUGAAGAUGCAGUGUACCCGCGGCAAGACGGAAAGACCCCGUGAACCUUUACUAUAGCUUGACACUGAACAUUGAGCCUUGAUGUGUAGGAUAGGUGGGAGGCUUUGAAGUGUGGACGCCAGUCUGCAUGGAGCCGACCUUGAAAUACCACCCUUUAAUGUUUGAUGUUCUAACGUGGACCCGUUACCCGGGUUGCGGACAGUGUCUGGUGGGUAGUUUGACUGGGGCGGUCUCCUCCUAAAGAGUAACGGAGGAGCACGAAGGUUGGCUAAUCCUGGUCGGACAUCAGGAGGUUAGUGCAAUGGCAUAAGCCAGCUUGACUGCGAGCGUGACGGCGCGAGCAGGUGCGAAAGCAGGUCAUAGUGAUCCGGUGGUUCUGAAUGGAAGGGCCAUCGCUCAACGGAUAAAAGGUACUCCGGGGAUAACAGGCUGAUACCGCCCAAGAGUUCAUAUCGACGGCGGUGUUUGGCACCUCGAUGUCGGCUCAUCACAUCCUGGGGCUGAAGUAGGUCCCAAGGGUAUGGCUGUUCGCCAUUUAAAGUGGUACGCGAGCUGGGUUUAGAACGUCGUGAGACAGUUCGGUCCCUAUCUGCCGUGGGCGCUGGAGAACUGAGGGGGGCUGCUCCUAGUACGAGAGGACCGGAGUGGACGCAUCACUGGUGUUCGGGUUGUCAUGCCAAUGGCACUGCCCGGUAGCUAAAUGCGGAAGAGAUAAGUGCUGAAAGCAUCUAAGCACGAAACUUGCCCCGAG